rnacentral:antisense_RNA from 1 species
GUCCGCACUCGCGGUCCCUAACCUGCCCCGGGAGCCCGGGAGUGCGGCUUGGGAAGGAGGGAAAGGAGUGUGUGAGCAGGGAUUGGCCCGAACCUAUCUCCACGCUCUCCCCCGGGACUGGAGGUGAAGGGGGCGUGGAGAAAAUCUCAGGGAACAGGGGCUUCGACAGGGGACUCCCGCCCGCCCGAGCCCCCUCCCCAAAAUGCGAGGCCUGCACAGUAUGCCUUCUCCGCAAAACCCCGGCAAGCGGGUUAGUGAAUUCAGGUCACUAAGAAGCUGAGCCCGCGGAAAGCUGCCCAAACACCCCCUUCUCUAGGGGGCUCCCCACGCCCCCCGCCGGGACGCGUUCCCGAAGUCGCCGCCUGGACUGCAACCGCGUGGCCUGCGCCGCGUCCUCUUCUCCGCAGCCUCCGAGGCCCGUGCGACCAAGCUGAAACCGCUUAUUCUCCGGAGCCCCUAUGACCCCGGGUGGGGGCCAGGGCUCGCCUCGAUCGCAGCCCGUGCGCCCUCCGGACUCCAGUUCGCCAGGACUGGGCGGCACCAGAAGCGGCUAGUGUGAGUGAAACAAACGGGAAAUUUGCUCUGGCCUGCCUGCCCAGCCACCCACGGCUGCCUGUUGGCCAAUCACCAUUUGACCAGUCCAGGAAGAGCAACUGUGGCAGGACUGAUUUCCUGGGAGGCCCCAGACUCCCUUUGCCUACCUCUUCCUCUCUGACCCCAUCCUCGCUUUGAUGCCCGGGACCUGCUACCCAGGUACCUGGGUCUUCUCUGCCGGAUGUGGACAUCUUGGCCUCUCGCCUUGGUGCCUACUCUUGGGAAGCGGGUCCAGACAUCUCUCCUGCAGGAGGAGAGGAAGGGUUAAUUACAGGCGUUGGGGUUAAUUAAAGCCUUUGACCAAGAGGA